UCCUCCCUCUGUCGGCGUGCUUAACACAUGCAAGUCGAACGAAGAGCGAUGGAAGCUUGCUUCUAUCAAUCUUAGUGGCGAACGGGUGAGUAACGCGUAAUCAACCUGCCCUUCAGAGGGGGACAACAGUUGGAAACGACUGCUAAUACCGCAUACGAUCUAAUCUCGGCAUCGAGGAUAGAUGAAAGGUGGCCUCUACAUGUAAGCUAUCACUGAAGGAGGGGAUUGCGUCUGAUUAGCUAGUUGGAGGGGUAACGGCCCACCAAGGCGAUGAUCAGUAGCCGGUCUGAGAGGAUGAACGGCCACAUUGGGACUGAGACACGGCCCAGACUCCUACGGGAGGCAGCAGUGGGGAAUCUUCCGCAAUGGACGAAAGUCUGACGGAGCAACGCCGCGUGAGUGAUGACGGCCUUCGGGUUGUAAAGCUCUGUUAAUCGGGACGAAAGGCCUUCUUGCGAAUAGUGAGAAGGAUUGACGGUACCGGAAUAGAAAGCCACGGCUAACUACGUG
rnacentral:rRNA from 1 species